UUAUAUUCUAUGUUCAUGAGGUGAGUAAAUACAUGUGUAAAAAUUUCAAGCAUUAAUUUUGCCAUUUGUAUGUGAAAUUUUGAAACGGGACUUAUGUGAAACAUUGGUAAAAUAGGUUGGUAAAAAUAUAAAGUGAUCUAAUAGAGCAUGUAUUCAAAAAUGUGGACUUGCAUGUCAAUUAAACCAUUUUUGAAUGUAAAUGGCCGGCCAACACAUGCAUGUAACAAUGUGUUCUCUUGUCUCCAUUUUUAAUUGGUGGGAAUUAUGUAUAAUAAUAAAUUUAUAUUAGUGGUGGUGAUAAAAACAAAGUCCCAUCAUCUUUUUUUCAUCUUGCCGAAACCAUAAGGAAAGGAAAAAGAAAAAUGGAAAGAAGAACACCUAAGGCAUUCGGCCAUCUUGUGUUGGGAAUUAAGGUAUGAUUUCAUAUGUUUUUCUUUGGAUUUUGAGAAAUUUAAAUUGGUUUUAAAGCUCCUAAAAUGACCCAUGUAUGUGAUUUUGUGUUUGUGAUGCAUGAAGCAUUCGAUCAUGAGCUCAAUGGGUUACAUUGUGUAUGUUUUGCUAAUUUGUGAGGAGAAAUGUUUCUAAUUGAGUAUAAACAAACUAAAUUACUAUAUGUGGCUCAAAUGAGCUUGAGUAGUCGGCUAAUGAAGUUAGUUGAGUUAUAAUACUUGCUUAAUAAUGAAAAGAACAUGAGCUUAAUGCUCAAAUAGCAUUCGGCUUUGGACUAAGUUAAAUUAGUUAGGAAAUGAGUUCCAAGAUAGUGAAUUAUGUGUUAAAAGAGGGAUUUAGGUUGUAUAUACGUGUUUAGAUUGAAAACAAGAGGCUAUGUUAGCUAAUUGAGGGAUUCGGCCAUAGCAUUAUAGUGAAUAAUAAUUUGAACAAGGGUUUUAAUUGUAUGAUAGGUUUUCGGAUAUGGUUGAUUGGAUAAUAAAUUGGUGUGGGUGUUUUGAAUGAGAUAUGUACAAUUAUAAGUUAAAUUUAAGGUUUGUUAAAUUUGUCCUUAUCAUUGCCGAAUGAGUUCAAUGGCUAAAGAAAAUUGUUAAGUGCUUAGUUAAUGUGCAUUCGGUCAUUUAGGAUGAGUAUACAUUUGAUAAUGUUUUGAUACUUUGAAAUGGAAUUUAAUUAUUAAUGAGUUAUAAGCUUGUUGAAUUUUGAGAUGUAAUUGGGAGUAAAUUUGAUAUGAGCAUAUUUUGUUAAUGACAUAUUGAUAAAUGUUGAGUUACGAUACCAUGAUAUUAAGCUUAAAGGCAUUCGAUCAUGAGAUGGAUUAAGGUGAACUAAAUGAUACUCGGCAAUGGUACUUUUUACAUGAGGAAUUCGGUGUUAAUUGUAUUAAAUAAGGUUUUUGUUUCUUGUUAAAUUGGAUGUAUCUUGUUGUAUGAGUGCUUGAACAAACUAUGAUUAAAUAGAUGCAUAGAUUCAAGGUGGGAAGAAUUGGCUAUUAUGCUUGAUACUAAUGCUGAAUAUGAGAAUGUUGUACUUGAAAAAUGUAGGUGAACAUGACAAGUGUAUUCGGCUUAGGGCAUAAAGGAUAUGAAAAUUUGGUAUUUAUUUUUGAUUGUGUGUGUAUGACCAUGGAUAAUUGGCUGCACAAAUAUUAUAAAUACAUAAUGUAUGUUAAAUUUAUUAAGCUACAAAACAUUAUACAUGAUCGGCCAAAGUAAAUUUUUUGAGUAAAGUAUAUCUUGAUGGUACAUUUCAGCUAGUAUAAAAUGUAUAUGGAUGUCGUAUGACUAUGUUUAAUUUGGGAAGUAAAUUGUUUGAUUUAGCUCAAGGGCCUAGAGGAUCAAAGUUGGAUAAGGGAAAGGAAAAAGUGAUCGAAUAGCCGUCGUAAUCGUUCGGCAUCUUCCGAGGUAAGUUUUAAGUGAUUAAACGUUGAGUAAAUUCAAUCAUAAUAGGACAUAAUGAGUUGAUUUAAUAAGAUAUGAUGUGGCCAUGAUAUGUCUUAAACUCAAAUGGUAAGUUCAUAAGUGUUUAGACUUGGAAAUUUAAGAGCAAAUUGUAAUAAUUUGCUUAGGACAGCAGCAGUAACGUGAUUUUAGAAAAUCACUAUAAAUUGUUGGUGUGGAAUUAUAGGCUGAAUAAAAUAUGUAUUCAAAGCUUAAUUAGUCUAGUUUCUUAUAAAAGAGACCGUGUAAGCAAAGAAAUUUCCUAUAAAGAGAUAUUGGAAGUUGUGUGAGACAGUGUCAGAAUGACUCCGAAAUCCCCUGUUCUGUAUUUAGAAAAUCAUUAUAAUUUGUACAAAAAUGGUUAUAAGAUAAAAUUUAUAUGCUUAGACUCCUUAAU
rnacentral:lncRNA from 1 species